rnacentral:snoRNA from 1 species
AUGCAAUGAUGUUUGAAUUUCUUCACCUGAAACAAUCGUGUAGUUUGAGCUUUUUAACUCUGAGCAUC